UACAGAGGGUGCGAGCGUUAAUCGGAAUUACUGGGCGUAAAGCGUGCGUAGACGGUCAUGUAAGUCGGGUGUGAAAGCCCCGGGCUCAACCUGGGAAUUGCAUUCGAGACUGCAUGGCUAGGGUGCGGAAGAGGGAAGCGGAAUUUCCGGUGUAGCGGCGAAAUGCGUAGAUAUCGGAAGGAACACCAGUGGCGAAAGCGGCUUCCUGGUCCGACACCGACGUUCAGGCACGAAAGCGUGGGGAGCAAACAGG
rnacentral:rRNA from 1 species